CUCCCCAGACCCCACCUGGUGGGAAUACACUGGGUAGUUGUUGUUGUUGUUGUUGUUGUUAUAAUAUUGAUUCAUAAAACAAAAUGUAUCUCAUUAAAUCUACACAAUCCAAAAAAGUACUAAUCCAAAAUAAUAAUGUCACAACUUUUAAAAUAAACUUGUAUUGAUUGACGUGAUAUGAUUAAUCCUAUCAAAUAAUAUCUUCAAAAGUUUCGGCAACUCUUUCUCAUAUUGAAAAUUUUUGAACAAAUGACCUGAAAAAAGUAAAAUAAACAUAUCAAAAUAUGGAAUAUAAUGUAUAAAACAUCAUGAGUCUACACAUCUAAAUAUAUUGUGAGUUCUCAAAACAAUGUAAAAAAUGAGGUUGCCUAAGAACUAGAGUACCAAAUUCAUCAUGGUUGAAGAUAUUGAAGUGUAGUUUCUAAUGAGACAAAUCGUUCUUUAAGUUGAAGCUUCCUACAUCGAAGUUAUAGUAUUAAAAUAGAAUCAAAAUAUUUUGUCUAUGCAAGAACAAAGAAUGAGAAAAGGAAUAUAAAUGAAUUAGCUAAUAUGGCAAAUGAAAUUUGUAGUAUCAGAAUACAACUUAGAUGUAACAUUAUGAAAAGAAAAAAAAAAAGAGCUAACAUCUGAUAAGAAUUCAAGAUGCUACCAUUUUAUAUAAACAAUAUUUGUCUGUCAUAAGAAUACAUGUUCUGUUGGUUAUAUACUUUUGAAGUAAACAGUGUGAGUAUGGUUAAUCUCAUCUUUUUGAUAUAAUUUGUACAGUUGCAUGUUACAAGUAUGGAAAAUGAGUGCAUUAACAUGAGGACGAAGAAGAUGAAUUUGCAAAUCAGCUUAAAAGAAAAUUAUUUCAAUAUAUGGAUUCAGUGAAGGACUUAGCAGUUCAAGAGAUUAUAAAAUAGCAGAGGCAAGUUACUGAUGUUAGUCUCCCAAGAAACUAGCAAUAGCAAAGUAAAAAGGUCAUGUUAUUCAGGUUGGACAUGGAAAGGAAGAAGAAAACAUCCUUAAUACUUCAAAAGGUUGUUUGUUGGUCAAGAAGUAAGCUACUAGUGGCAAAAAGAAGAAACAAAAGCAGUACAGGAAAACUGUAAGAGAAAUAUGAAACCUUUAAUAACUUUACUGAUUUUACGAAUAAUAAACCCAUAGAACUUGAAGGAUUAAAUGCAUAAGGAAUGUACUUCUUGUGACACAUACAACACCACCAUGCUCAUCCCAUGCAUUAUUCCGCCCCCUAUAGUACACAAAUAUGUAACCAUUUGGAGUGUAGUGUACUUGUAUGCUUGAGAUCAUGCACAAAUAUUUAAACCGUUGAACAAGUGAAUGCUCCAUUAGGUGUAAGUACUCUCUAACAUAAAGUUUUCUUCUAUAUGGAACUCAAACAUAGCAAUUAAUUGUCUUUCCGAGUCGUGGGUUCCGAUUAUUUAUUAGUAAUUUAGGCUCACGAAACUAUGAUUAUAUAGUCUGUACCUAAAAUAAUGAGUCAUCUUUUAAUAACUGUGGGAAAGAAGAUAUUUAACUACAAUGACAUAACAAUCAUUGCAACUGUGUAACUUAAAGAACAAGAACUCAUUAAAAUAAAGAACAUAUAGCUCAGAGAUCUAGUUAAACAUAACAGAAUCGAAUACAACUUUGGUGCCAGGAACGGAGGUGGCACUUCGCUGCUUGAUUUCGCCAGGGCUUCCGAGCUCCUGAUUGCGAACUCGUCAUUCCGGAAGAGGGAGGAGCAUUUACUCAUUAAAAUAAAGAACAUAUAGCUCAGAGAUCUAGUUAAACAUAACAGAAUCGAAUACAACUAAACAAGACUAUCCUAACUUCUAAGUAUACCUCCUGCCUACCAUCAUUUACAUGGGAUUUUUGAUUUUCAGAUUUAUGAAGAACAGAGAAAAUGAGUCUAAGCAAACAACAAUGUCAAUUCAUAAGAACUCUUAAAAUCCCUUUUUAUUGUAGUGUAUUAUGCAAUAUGUAUCCAAUAAUACUAUCUUGAUUCGAACAUUGUAAUUAAAGUUGGUUAAUCAAAUAUAAAGAAAAAAAGGUUCAACAGCAUAAAAUUGUCUACAGAAUUCUAUCUAUUAUCUCAAUUGAAAGAGGACAAGAGAACAUCUGUAAGCAUUUAUGUGAGCCAAGUGAAAUGGAAUAUAAUAAUUCAGUAUGGUAGGAAAGGUACCGAUUUACCAGCAAUUAUCAUCAUAGCCACAUUCGUGAAAUGAUUAGUAACUGCAAUAGCCACAAAAUUCUAAAUACAUUCAUUGUCAUAAUAGUCUCUUCCAUAAUCCAUCAGCUGCCGAAGUAUGUGUGUGGUUCUAGAGGACCUGAACAAGAAGAGGCAAAGAUAUUAGAUCUGGACACUGCAGAUUGCUCAGGAUGACUGUUUGGGUAACAAAACCGAGAAGGGUGAUUCAAGGAAAUGUUGAGAUAUAUGUAAAGCAAUGAUGAUAAAAUCCACACUUAGACCAUUAUGAGUCAAUGAGGGAGUCACAUCUGAGCCUAAUAAGCUAUUUCUGUAAUUAGUCUAUUUCUGUAAUUAGGCUAUUUCUGUAAUUAAACUAUUUCUGUAAUGGGUUAUUUUGUAUAUAUGCUGAAGGGUCGUUUGUACAAAGACUAAGGGG
rnacentral:lncRNA from 1 species